GCUACUACCGAUUGGAUGGUUUAGUGAGGCCCUCGGAUCGGCCCCGCCGGGGUCGGCCCACGGCCCUGGCGGAGUGCUGAGAAGACGGUCGAACUUGACUAUCUAGAGGAAGUAAAAGUCGUAACAAGGUUUCC
rnacentral:rRNA from 1 species